rnacentral:rRNA from 1 species
CCUACGGGAGGCUGCAGUGAGGAAUAUUGGUCAAUGGACGAGAGUCUGAACCAGCCAAGUAGCGUGAAGGAUGACUGCCCUAUGGGUUGUAAACUUCUUUUAUAUGGGAAUAAAAUGUUCCACGUGUGGGAUUUUGUAUGUACCAUAUGAAUAAGGAUAGGCUAACUCCGUGCCAGCAGCCGCGGUAAUACGGAGGAUCCGAUCGUUAUCCGGAUUUAUUGGGUUUAAAGGGAGCGUAGGUGGAUUGUUAAGUCAGUUGUGAAAGUUUGCGGCUCAACCGUAAAAUUGCAGUUGAAACUGGCAGUCUUGAGUACAGUAGAGGUGGGCGGAAUUCGUGGUGUAGCGGUGAAAUGCUUAGAUAUCACGAAGAACUCCGAUUGCGAAGGCAGUUCACUGGACUGCAACUGACACUGAGGCUCGAAAGUGUGGGUAUCAAACAGGAUUAGAUACCCGGGUAGUC